AUACGUAGGGGGCGAGCGUUGUCCGAAUUUACUGGGCGUAAAGCGCGUGUAGGCGGUUUCCUAAGUCAGUAGUGAAAUCUUGCGGCUCAACCGCAAAACUGCUUCUGAAACUGGGAGGCUUGAGCGUGGGAGAGGAAAGUGGAAUUCCUGGUGUAGCGGUGAAAUGCGUAGAUAUCAGGAGGAACACCCGUGGCGAAGGCGGCUUUCUGGCCCACUGCUGACGCUGAGACGCGAAAGCUAGGGGAGCGAACGGGAUUAGAUACCCCGGUAGUCCUAGCCGUAAACGAUGGAUACUAGGUGUUGGUGGUAUCGACCCCACCAGUGCCGUAGCUAACGCAUUAAGUAUCCCGCCUGGGGAGUACGGCCGCAAGGUUGAA
rnacentral:rRNA from 1 species